rfam:Myotis lucifugus cont2.18046, whole genome shotgun sequence.
CACUCAGGGGGUGGGUCCCUCCGCCUGGAUUGUGAGAGGGUGCAGGCCAGGCCAAGGGACCCCACCGAUGCACG